ensembl:lncRNA
UUUAAACACUGGCAAAACUGUUUUUAUUAUCAAUGACAUUUCAUUGUAAAAUGGUCAAAACACACAAUAUACGGUUGUACCAGGCUGGGCUGGUAGUACAUGUACACAGUAGUGUUGCAGAGACUGGUGUAACGUUUUCAUUUGGAUUGAAAACAUUUGACAAACUUGUUUAACAAUGGUAGGUAAUAAUGUACUAGAACAUUAUUCAAAUAGAUGAAAUAUUUGUUUGAAAGCUAAGUUUUAGACUUCCGUUAGUAACCACAAAAAUAGUACAACACAUUAGGGACCAUGACAACGAGCUAUGAGGAAAUGUGCGUUCAAAUCAUAUGCAACUUAAAGUAUCCAAAGAGUACGGAAAAAUGUCUCGAAUAUAGAAAGAUAAAUGUUAACUAUAACAAUUAGCAUAUCCUUUACAAAAUGAGACACCUCUGGGUAAAAACAGCUAUACUCAAAGGGAAGACAAAUUCAUUAACUAAGUGGUUAUAGAACAGGUUGUGCUGACCAAAAUAUAAUACCUCAAGUGCAAAAAUAGUGGAUUACAUUGCACCAUAUUCAUCUUUACAGUCAUGUCACAAGACUUCCAGAACAGUUAUAACUUAAACACGACUCCAUUCAUAAAGCGAUUAUUUUUAUUACAGUCAGUAGUGAUCUAGUAUUUCCCCUUGCCCUCAUUCUGUGGAAAAAGUGUGGUUUUCAUAAACGUGUUCUUGGGCUAUUUUGUUGCCAGAGUGCCAGUCUGUUUGUGCCAUCGAGCCAACUCCUCGUCACUGUAAACAGUUUGGCUUAACGUCGACAGCAAUGGCGUCGUCAAGACCACAAACGGAUCUGGGACCAGGAUAAGCUAUCUACUUGAGGCUCUGCCACAGUCUUCAGUAACACCACAGUAAAGGAAAAAAAAGGAUAAGGGCCCCCACCAGUGUUCGAAAAGGGCACUGCAUUUCAUAAUCAUAUUCAGCCAUCAAACAAAACCAAAAAUGCAUUCACACAUUUCAGUCAGCUGAAAACUCUGGGCAGUGUGUGGGGGUGAGGUAUUAAUGUUUUGACCAUUUGUCUCAACAUAAAAAAUAAAAAAAGCUGAUCUGUACAUUUCCUAUAAAAUCUUUGUCGGAGUCAAUGUUUGAAAGUGUUUCAGUCAGUGGUACAAUCAUGUGAAAUGUGAUUAGGUUAUGAGCUAUAAAAAUGAAACACUUUUACAAAGUUGUGAUGUUUUGUGCAUAACCAACACCUUUAUAAAAUGUUUGUACAUUACACCUAAUUCCAAAGUAUUUCGUUUCCAUUUUGAUACUAUAUUUGCAGACGUACAUUCAUCUAGUACAGGCUCUACAGUCAUCUUGUACGGUGUGUGUGCGCAAUGUAUGUGAGUCUUCAGAGAUUGAGGAAGCACAUGUCCUGAGAUGAAUUCAGGGUAGGAAGAGACUCGCUUCACACUUGCA